rnacentral:tRNA from 16 species
GUAGAAUGGUAGCGCAGCCGGCUGCUGUUUUUGCGGUCGGCGGUUCGAAUCCUGGU